CCUACGGGAGGCAGCAGUGGGGAAUCUUGCGCAAUGGACGAAAGUCUGACGCAGCCACGCCGCGUGAGUGAAGAAGGCCUUCGGGUUGUAAAGCUCUGUCACCUGGGACGAAAACGUUUACGGUUAAUAGCCGUAGAUCUUGACGGUACCAGGGGAGGAAGCACCGGCUAACUUCGUGCCAGCAGCCGCGGUAAUACGAAGGGUGCAAGCGUUGCUCGGAAUUAUUGGGCGUAAAGGGCUGGUAGGUGGUCUUGUUUGUCUAAGGUGAAAUCCCACGGCUUAACUGUGGAAGUGCCUUAGAAACGGCAAGACUAGAGUCCUAGAGGGGUUUGUGGAAUUCCCGGUGUAGCGGUGAAAUGCGUAGAGAUCGGGAGGAACACCAGCGGCGAAGGCGGCAAACUGGAUAGGAACUGACACUCAACAACGAAAGCGUGGGGAUCAAACAGGAUUAGAUACCCUGGUAGUCCACGCUGUAAACGAUGGGUACUAGGCUUUGUGGGAAUAGACCCCUGCAGAGCCGGAGCUAACGCAAUAAGUACCCCGCCUGGGAAGUACGGUCGCAAGACUAAAACUCAAAUGAAUUGACGGCUGAGACGNGCGACGACGACGACGAGGAGAGG
rnacentral:rRNA from 1 species